rnacentral:lncRNA from 1 species
GAGGAGGUUUGGGCUCGCUGUUUUGGGCCUGCAGUGGCUGGGAGCGGGUCCUGGGCUGCUCCUUGUGGAUCUGGGCCGCUGCUGGACGGGCCUGGGCGGCUGGGCCGCGUGUUUUGGGCCCAAACAAGGGCUGGUUCUGUUUUUCAGCCUGUUUUAGGCGUUUAUGGGCAUUUUUUGUCCAUUUUUAUUUAUUUUAUUUUUCUUUUAAAAUAGAAUAGAUGUUGGGAUUCCACGAAUGGGUCACGAAGAAUUUUAAUUCUUUUAUUAUGUUCUUUGCAUGUCGUGGUUGUUAAUCCCUUAUGCUCUUUACCUGCUUUUGCACGUCUUUGCUUGUUAAUAUUUGUUUAUUAUUUGCGCUUAGACGAGCAUGAUAGUAGGUUGCCGUUUUCUUAAGC